rnacentral:tRNA from 1 species
UCGGUAGCUCAGCUGGAUAGAGCAUCCGCCUUCUAAGCGGGUUGUCGUGGGUUCGAGUCCCACCCG